rnacentral:piRNA from 1 species
UGCUUUUAUACCCCACAGAAAUUUGA